UACGUAGGGUGCAAGCGUUAAUCGGAAUUACUGGGCGUAAAGCGUGCGCAGGCGGUGAUGUAAGACCGAUGUGAAAUCCCCGGGCUUAACCUGGGAACUGCAUUGGUGACUGCAUUGCUAGAGUAUGGCAGAGGGGGGUGGAAUUCCACGUGUAGCAGUGAAAUGCGUAGAGAUGUGGAGGAACACCGAUGGCGAAGGCAGCCCCCUGGGCCAAUACUGACGCUCAUGCACGAAAGGCGUGGGG
rnacentral:rRNA from 1 species